GAAUAUUGGGCAAUGGGUGCAAGCCUGACCCAGCCAUGCCGCGUGCAGGAAGAAUGCGUUCUGCGUUGUAAACUGCUUUUGAUCGGGAAGAAAGCGUCUUUGCGAAGACAGUUGACGGUACCGAUAGAAUAAGCACCGGCUAACUCCGUUCCAGCCGCCGCGGUAAUACGGAGGGUGCAAGCGUUGUCCGGAUUCAUUGGGUUUAAAGGGUGCGUAGGCGGAUUGAUAAGGCAGUGGUGAAAGGCAGCGGCUCAACCGUUGAGUUGCCAUUGAUACUGCCAGUCUUGAGUGCACUAGAGGUAAGUGGAAUUUAUGGUGUAGCGGUGAAAUGCAUAGAUACCAUAAAGAACACCAAUAGCGAAGGCAGCUUACUAGAGUGUAACUGACGCUGAGGCACGAAAGCGUGGGGAGCGAACAGG
rnacentral:rRNA from 1 species